CCUACGGGAGGCAGCAGUGGGGAAUAUUGCACAAUGGGGGAAACCCUGAUGCAGCGACGCCGCGUGAGUGAAGAAGUAUUUCGGUACGUAAAGCUCUAUCAGCAGGGAAGAAAAUGACGGUACCUGACUAAGAAGCCCCGGCUAACUACGUGCCAGCAGCCGCGGUAAUACGUAGGGGGCAAGCGUUAUCCGGAUUUACUGGGUGUAAAGGGAGCGUAGACGGCAGCGCAAGUCUGGAGUGAAAUCCCAUGGCUUAACCAUGGAACUGCUUUGUAAACUGUGCAGCUAGAGUGCAGGAGAGGUAAGCGGAAUUCCUGGUGUAGCGGUGAAAUGCGUAGAUAUUAGGAGGAACACCAGUGGCGAAGGCGGCUUACUGGACUGUAACUGACGUUGAGGCUCGAAAGCGUGGGGAGCAAACAGGAUUAGAUACCCCAGUAGUC
rnacentral:rRNA from 1 species